UGGGAAAUUUUGGACAAUGGGCGCAAGCCUGAUCCAGCCAUGCCGCGUGUCUGAAGAAGGCCUUCGGGUUGUAAAGGACUUUUGUCAGGGAAGAAAAGGCUGUUGCUAAUACCGACAGCUGAUGACGGUACCUGAAGAAUAAGCACCGGCUAACUACGUGCCAGCAGCCGCGGUAAUACGUAGGGUGCGAGCGUUAAUCGGAAUUACUGGGCGUAAAGCGAGCGCAGACGGUUACUUAAGCAGGAUGUGAAAUCCCCGGGCUCAACCUGGGAACUGCGUUCUGAACUGGGUGACUAGAGUGUGUCAGAGGGAGGUAGAAUUCCACGUGUAGCAGUGAAAUGCGUAGAGAUGUGGAGGAAUACCGAUGGCGAAGGCAGCCUCCUGGGAUAACACUGACGUUCAUGCUCGAAAGCGUGGGUAGCAAACAGGAUUAGAUACCCUGGUAGUCCACGCCCUAAACGAUGUCAAUUAGCUGUUGGGCAACUUGAUUGCUUAGUAGCGUAGCUAACGCGUGAAAUUGACCGCCUGGGGAGUACGGUCGCAAGAUUA
rnacentral:rRNA from 1 species